UCGAUUCUGACUCAGGAUGAACGCUAGCUACAGGCUUAACACAUGCAAGUCGAGGGGCAUCAUUGGGAUAGCUUGCUAUUCAGAUGGCGACCGGCGCACGGGUGAGUAACGCGUAUCCAACCUUCCCCUUAGUAGGGCAUAGCCCGGCGAAAGUCGGAUUAAUACCCUAUGUUGUAUAUUGAGGACAUCUGAUUUAUACCAAAGAUUCAUCGCUAAGGGAUGGGGAUGCGUCCGAUUAGGUAGUCGGCGGGGUAACGGCCCACCGAGCCAUCGAUCGGUAGGGGUUCUGAGAGGAAGGUCCCCCACACUGGUACUGAGACACGGACCAGACUCCUACGGGAGGCAGCAGUGAGGAAUAUUGGUCAAUGGGCGAGAGCCUGAACCAGCCAAGUAGCGUGCAGGAAGACGGCCCUAUGGGUUGUAAACUGCUUUUAUCAGGGGAUAAAGUGAGGGACGUGUCCCUUAUUGCAGGUACCUGAUGAAUAAGGACCGGCUAAUUCCGUGCCAGCAGCCGC
rnacentral:rRNA from 1 species